rnacentral:rRNA from 1 species
GUGAACGCUGGCGGUAGGCCUAACACCUGCAAGUCGAACGGCAGCACAGUAAGAGCUUGCUCUUACGGGUGGCGAGUGGCGGACGGGUGAGGAAUACAUCUGAAUCUACUUUUUCGUGGGGGAUAACGUAGGGAAACUUACGCUAAUACCGCAUACGACCUACGGGUGAAAGCAGGGGAUCUUCGGACCUUGCGCGAUUGAAUGAGCCGAUGUCGGAUUAGCUAGUUGGCGGGGUAAAGGCCCACCAAGGCGACGAUCCGUAGCUGGUCUGAGAGGAUGAUCAGCCACACUGGAACUGAGACACGGUCCAGACUCCUACGGGAGGCAGCAGUGGGGAAUAUUGGACAAUGGGCGCAAGCCUGAUCCAGCCAUACCGCGUGGGUGAAGAAGGCCUUCGGGUUGUAAAGCCCUUUUGUUGGGAAAGAAAAGCAGCAGGUUAAUACCCCGCUGUUCUGACGGUACCCAAAGAAUAAGCACCGGCUAACUUCGUG